UACGGGGGGGGCAAGCGUUGUUCGGAAUUACUGGGCGUAAAGGGCUCGUAGGCGGCCAACUAAGUCACACGUGAAAUCCCUCGGCUCAACCGGGGAACUGCGUGUGAGACUGGAUGGCUUGAGUUUGGGAGAGGAAUGCGGAAUUCCAGGUGUAGCGGUGAAAUGCGUAGAUAUCUGGAGGAACACCGGUGGCGAAGGCGGCAUUCUGGACCAACACUGACGCUGAGGAGCGAAAGCGUGGGGAGCGAACAGG
rnacentral:rRNA from 1 species